AUGCGGAGGGUCUGCUACCUCAUCCACCUCACCCUCUUCUGGGCAGGAGUCAUGUCAGCUGUCAUGUUGGUGCCUCAAGACCAAGCAAGGAGUGUGUCUGUGGGGGAAUCUGUCACCUUCAGGUGCUCCAUGAAAGGAGAAUCCAUCAGUAACUACUACACCUUCUGGUACAGGAAAACACCGGGUAACACAAUGACUUUCAUAUACCGAGAAGGGGGCACGUAUGGCCCUGGUUUCAAGGACAACUUCCGAGGUGAAAUUGAUUCUUUAAACAACCAGGCUGUGCUGAAUAUCCUGGAGGCAUCAGAGAGAGAUGAAGGAUCUUACUACUGUGCCUGCGUCGCAAUGUGCUCCUGGGACACCCGACAGAUGUUUUUUGGAGCUGGCACCAAACUCUUCGUGGAGCCCCAAAUUCAGGCCGUUGCCAACCCAUCCGUUUUUGUCAUGAAAAACGGGACAAAUGUCGCUUGUCUGGUGAAGGAGUUCUACCCCAAAGACGUAACUAUAAGUCUGGAAUCAUCCAAGAUAAUAAGAGAAUAUGACCCUGCUAUCGUCAUCUCUCCCGGUGGGAGGUACAGUGCCGUCAAGCUUGGUCAGUAUGAAGAUCCAGAUUCAGUGACAUGUACAGUUCAACAUAACAAACAAACCUGGCGCUCUACUGAUUUCGAACCGAAGAAAAAUACUUCAGAAAAUUCAAAACUAAAGGAAACUGAAAACAUCAAGCAAACUCAAACUCCAGAGACCUGCUAUGAGCCCCAAGUUCAAGCCGAGAAGGUGAACAUGAUGUCCCUUGCAGUGCUGGGGCUCCGAAUGCUGUUUGCCAAGAGUGUUGCCAUCAAUUUUCUCUUGACUGCCAAGUUAUUUUUCUUUUAA